rnacentral:lncRNA from 1 species
UUUACGUAUAUGUUCACACAUGCACAUGAAACUGAUCAGGACAUUCCUAAAACCAAUCAGAUGCAAGCAGAAUGAUUUGGUAACUUAUUUCUCCUAGUAAUUGUAAGCUGCUACAACAUCUCCAACACUGAAAGAGGAAACUCUCAGCAGGAAGACGAUUCAUCCAGAGGUAACAUACAUCAACAUGGAAAGCAAGAACACUAGCACUCAUUGAAGCUUGAUCAGAAAUGCAAGCUUCUUUGGUUUCCUUUUAUACAUAUACAGAAACCUUCAUUCUUCUAACCGGCUAGAUAUGGAGCUGAUUAAUUAGAUCGAUAUGAGUACCUACAAACAUAGGAACAAGUAAAUAGUUAUGUUGAUUUUGCAAUGAAAUAGAAGAUUAGAACCAAUCAACUUGAAGUAGCAUUCCCCCACUUGUUCAUUAGAAUCAUUCAUCUUGUUGGAUGCAGCACAAGAAGCGACGAAUUAGG